rnacentral:sRNA from 1 species
AGACCUCGGUAGGUGAGGUUACUGCAAGGAUACGGAUUGCUACCGAAAAAGAGUGGAAACACCCUGACCCGGCAAGCAGGUUUGGCCGAACAAAGAAGGCCUUAUCUAAUGCAAUUUCAUGGCCUUGCUGAGCCAAAACUUGAACGAGAAAG